rnacentral:rRNA from 1 species
UACGUAGGGUGCAAGCGUUAAUCGGAAUUACUGGGCGUAAAGCGUGCGCAGGCGGUUUUGUAAGUCUGUCGUGAAAUCCCCGGGCUCAACCUGGGAAUUGCGAUGGAGACUGCAAGGCUAGAAUCUGGCAGAGGGGGGUAGAAUUCCACGUGUAGCAGUGAAAUGCGUAGAUAUCUGGAGGAACACCCGAUGGCGAAGGCAGCCCCCUGGGCUAACACUGGACGCUCAUGCACGAAAGCGUGGG